AUUGCUUCUCAGCCUUUUGGCUAAGAUCAAGUAUAGUAUCUGUUCUUAUCAGCUUAAUACAAGUAGAGGGAUUAGUACAAUGGACCCCCUUCUAUGCAUUCCUCCAUUUUCAACAACUGUCACUAAAAUUCUUCAAAGUAGAUAAAUAAGUUCCCAUAGCUCUC
rnacentral:snRNA from 1 species